rnacentral:tRNA from 1 species
GGCGAAAUGGUAGACGCGCUAGUUUCAGGAGCUAGUGGGGUAAAACCUGUGUGAGUUCGAGUCUCAUC